rnacentral:SRP_RNA from 1 species
GCCGGACGUGGUAGCAUGUGCCUGUAGUCCCAGCUACUUGGGAGGCUGAGGUGGGAGGAUCGCUUGAGCCCAGGAGUUCUGGACUGUAGUGUACUAUGCUGAGCGGGUGGCCGCACUAAGUUUGGCAUCAAUAUGGUGACCUCCCUGGAGUGGGGGACCACCAGGUUGCCUAAGGAGGGGUGAACCAGCCCAGGUCGGAAACGGAGCAGGUCAAAACUCCCAUGCUGAUCAGUAGUGGGAUUGCGCCUGUGAAUAGCCACUGCACUCCAGCCUAGGCAACAUAGCAAGACCCCGUCUCU